rnacentral:rRNA from 1 species
AGAAUCAACGCUGGCGGCGUGCCUAACACAUGCAAGUCGAACGAGAAAGGGUAGCAAUACCUGAGUAAAGUGGCGCACGGGUGAGUAACACGUGACUAACCUACCUUUUAGUGGGGGAUAACCUAGGGAAACCUGGGCUAAUACCGCAUAAUACCUACGGGUCAAAGCAGCAAUGCGCUGAAAGAGGGGGUCGCGGUCGAUUAGUUAGUUGGCAGGGUAAUGGCCUACCAAGACUGUGAUCGAUAUCCGGCCUGAGAGGGCGCACGGACACACUGGAACUGAAACACGGUCCAGACUCCUACGGGAGGCAGCAGUGGGGAAUUUUGCGCAAUGGGGGAAACCCUGACGCAGCAACGCCGCGUGGAGGAUGAAGUCCCUUGGGACGUAAACUCCUUUCGAUCGGGACGAUAAUGACGGUACCGGAAGAAGAAGCCCCGGCUAACUUCGUGCCAGCAGCCG